CCAAUCUACAAAUGAUUACGGGAACCCACUCACCAACUACACCGGAUCAGAGCCCCAAUCUACAAAUGAGUACGGGGCUACAGAUGAGUAUGGGAACCCAGUCACCACCUACACCAGAUCAGAGCCCCACUAUACAGAUGAGUAUGGGAACCCAGUACGCGAAAGGGGGAUGAUGGACAAGAUCAAGGAGAAGCUCCCAGGUACUCAUGACCCCUACUCAUCUCAUUCUCAGACAACCUACCCCACUGCACGUUACGGUGAAACCGGCUACACUGGAUUGGAGCAGCACCAUGGGAUGAUGAACAAGAUGCCAGGUACUGACCCCUACUCAUCUCAUUCUCAUACAACCGGCACCACUGCACCUUACGAUGGAACCGGCUACACCGGAACAGAGUACCGCCAGCACAAGGGCACGAUGGACAGGAUCAAGGAUAAGCUGACUGGGACUGGUGGACAUAGGGUGGAUGAUCCCUACUCAUCUCAUUCUCAUAAAACCGCCACCACCACACCUUACGGUGGCACCACCACCACAGCUUACGGUGACAGCACCACCACACCUUCACCUUACGGUGGCACCACCACCACACAUUCACCUUACGGUGGCACCACCACCACAGCUUACGGUGACACCACCACCACACCUUCAGCUUACGGUGGCACCACCACCACACCUUCAGCUUACGGUGGCACCGCCACCACCACCUACCCCCGUGAAAAGAAGGGCAUCAUGGACAAGAUCAAAGAGAAACUUCCUGGUGGACAUCAUUAUUAAUAAUAGGGUUAUGUAAGAGAUAGAUACGUUAGGUAUCGUUUUGUGUUCAAUGUUUUAGUAUGACGUGUAUAAUAAGCGGUGCUUGGUGUGGUUGUUAUGUUUGUGAACACCGAGCUCUGCGCCAUGUCCUUUGUAUUUUGUGAUACAUACUUUGUAUGUCCUUUAUAUCUAUCUUAACAAUAGUUCCUGUGUAAGCAAGUUUUAAUUGUUUGGAGAGGGAUUUAUUAAAACCAGCAAUAGUCUAAUUAUUUUAAAUUAUUAUAAUUUACAAGGAAUUCAAACUUGAGGCCAAAAACGUAAGGCUCACCUCUGCUAUUAUUCAUGGUAUUCACGAUUGGGUUGUAGAUAAAGAAUUUUAUGGCUAUACGUUGUGGUAUCUUACGGCACUUCAACAAUAAAGUAUCUAUUCCACACAAACAAAAGACGGUUCAUGUCACGAUUAUUGACUUAACCCACAUAUACUUUGAAAUUAAAUUUUUUUUCAGUAAAAGCAUUUAAAUUUGGAGUCAUUCUAUAAUGAAGGCGGCUCUUAGAUGAGAUAUUAUCUCUUAAUUAUUAAAUUAAAUUAAUUAUUUUGAUCUAACGAUUAACUAAUUUAAUUUAAUAAUUAAAAAAUAGAACAUCAUCUAGAUGAGACCCACACUUUAGAAUUUGGCUACUCAACAGAUUGGUCCGUUUCAUGUCGGCCGUUUGUAGACCAAACUGCUGAAAUUGGGCCGGUUCAAUUCAAUAACCCUGUACAGCUAGAACCAAUGGAUAACACCCACGUGGAACCUCAUACACGGAACGAUGAAAUCCCUCUUAUGAAUCUUAGCCAUCCAAUGAGUCGGUCUGUGUGACAAAGAUCAAGAUGAUGAAUGACUUUUACAAGGGUCAAAAGCUAGUGGAGUGGAACGGGUACAGAUGUUGUUGUUCCUCCUGUCGUCAUCAAUUCCAUACAGACGCGGUGAAAUGAUACCUGCUUUUCAAGACAACGAGAACCACUUAUUUUAUCUUAUCUUAAUCGUAAUCUUUAAUCUUAUGCCCGACGUAAAAAGAAAACAAAACAAAAACAAAAUAUCUUCCGAUGUGCCGACACCGGCACACAGGUGUCCUGUCUCAACAGCGCCACGUGUCUCAUAUGUGAAUAUCAGGUAGGUAUGAAAUUUACUUUGCUAAUUAUGUACGUGGGUACGUGUAAAGAUUAAUGAAAUUAUUAUUCAUGGCAUGGCAUGCGCGUUAUGCAUAAUGCAUGCAUAGCCUUUGGGUGUAGAUUCGUUGCCUAUAUAAACCAACCUCAGUUCUAAUUUCAAAUACAUCACUUCAUCCCAAACCAAAGCCAGUUUCAUUCAUUUGGUUUUUAUCAGGAGUUGUAUUUUCUUGUGUCUUUUUUUGUUCGUACUUUGAAAAAUGGCGCAUUUUGGUUCAACACCCGAGCCUACUAAGACUGAUGAGUAUGGGAACCCGGUUCAUCACACCACCACCGGAACCGGUCGGACAGACGAGUUCGGGAACCCGGUUCAGCACGGCGUGGCGGAUACCGGGUACGGAACUGGUGCAGGGUACGGCACUCAUACAAAACCUGGUGUUGUUGAGCACCACGGCGUCCCUGCUGUGCUUCAUUCCAAGGAUGACCAGUACUCUCGUGAUACCCAGACAACCACUGGAGGUUACGGUGGGGACGGGUACACAGGAGGAGAGCACCAGGAGAAGAAGGGUUUACUAGGCCAACUCCAGGACAAGCUGCCAGGUGGGAACAAGGAUGGCCAGUACUCUCAUGACACCCAGACAACCACUGGAGCUUACGGUGGGGCCGGCUACACAGGAGGAGAGCACCACGAGAAGAAGGGUAUAAUAGGCCAAGUUAAGGACAAGCUGCCAGGUGGGCAAAAGGAUGACCAGUACUGUCGUGACACCCACCCAACCACUGGAGCUUACGGUGGCGCCGGCUACACAGGAGGAGAGGACCACGAGAAGAAGGGUAUAAUAGGCCAAGUCAAAGACAAGCUGCCAGGUGGGCAAAAGGAUGACCAGUACUGUCGUGACACCCACCCAACCACUGGAGCUUACGGUGGGGCCGGCUACACAGGAGGAGAGCACCAGGAGAAGAAGGGUAUAAUAGGCCAAGUUAAGGACAAGCUGCCAGGUGGGCAAAAGGAUGAUCAGUACUCUCAUGACACCCACAAAACUACUGGAGCUUACGGUGGGGCCGGAUACACAGGAGAUGAUACCCGGGAGAAGAAGGGUAUAAUAGGCCAAGUGAAGGACAAGCUGCCAGGUGGGCAAAAGGAUGACCAUUACUCUCAUGACACCCACCCAACAACUGGAGCUUACGGUGGGGCCGGGUACACAGGAGAUGAUACCCGGGAGAAGAAGGGUAUAAUAGACCAAGUAAAGGACAAGCUGCCGGGUGGGCAAAAGGAUGACCAUUACUCUCAUGAGACCCACCCAACCACUGGAGCUUACGGUGGGGCAGGGUACACAGGAGAUGAUACACGGGAGAAGAAGGGUGUAGUGGAGAAAGUGAAGGAGAAGCUGCCAGGUGGGCAAAAUGUGCACCCAACCACUGGACCUUACGGUGGGGGUGGGGCCGCGGGCAUAGGAGAGACCCGGGAGAGGAAGGGUGUAGGGGAGAAAGUGAAGGAGAAGCUGCCAGGUGGACAUAAGGAUGACCAGUACCUUCAUGACACCCACCCAACCAAGCCAACCAGUGCAGCUCACGGUGGGGUCGGGCACACAGGAGGAGAGCCCCAGCUCCAUGAGAAGAAGGGGUUGAUUGAGAAAAUCAAAGACAAGCUUCCUGGUCACAACAACUAGAUGGAAUGGAUCAUCAUUUGGACUUCCUAUCAGAUAAUUAUCUGCUGUGCUGCUGUGUAUAAUAAAUCGGUGCUUGUUGUUGGUCUGUGACCACCGAGCAUUGUACAAUGUCGUAUUUUGUAAUAUUUGGAUGUCGUUUGUGUUAUAGUAUAAAUGUGCUCUUCUGAGUACAGUGUUUUGCUUUUGUAACUAUUUAUUGUCUGCUGCUUUCAAGUAUAAAUCUCAAUAAUGCACAUAUAUUAUUAUUAUUAUUUUGUGAUGAAAUAGGUUUGUCUAAAUGAAAUCUUAACCAAGGGUUGAAAAUCAAAUUUUUUGGAAAAAAGAACCCAAAGGCUCCUACUUUCUGCACCGGCCCCUUGAAAAAGUGAAGAGUUUGAAAUGUCAAGAGAUCUUGUGAACCUUUUGCUUUAAGCUGUUGAGCAGCAGUAUCACAAGCUACAACUUCAUAGCUAUCCUUUAACGUUUGACGGACUGCCUUGCCCUCCUCUAUCUGAGUGAAGAAGUUGGCUUUCUUUGCCUUUUCUUCUUGUUGCCGCUUUUCUCAGAGUUUUGUUUUUUCUUACUGUUUGUUUGGUCUUCUUCUUGUAUUUGCCGUUGACUGGUUGCUCGGUCUCGGUUUGUUCUCCUGACCCUUUGGUAUUUGUUUAUGAAAGUACAACUUUACCCCCCAAAAAAGAAAAGUAAUUCGCUUUUAGCUCGUCUAAAUCCCUGAGCACAUACGAACAAGGCCCCUAAUUUGUAUAAACCUAUAUAUAUAUAUUAUUUAAAAAUAAAAUGCAAUAUAUAUUAAUUUUUAUGUAUUUUAUAAAGUUGUUAAUUCCUUUUUAAAUUACAACAGUUCAUAUAAAUGUUUUUAACUUACCGGGAAAAAAAAAAUUCACAUAAGAAUACAUAAAAAGUGGGCAUAAAUCACUCUCUGAAACAUUAUCCCACUCCUCCGAACGACCUUUACAGCGCCACUUGUCAAAAUGUGACAAUGCAACAAGUUCCAAUAAUUUUCAACUGAUACAGAGGUAGCUAUCGUCAAACAGGCUCUUGUGCAUACGCGGUCAAAGUGUCACGAGCUUUUAACACCAAGACAAAGAAUACUAUUAUUAACACAUGAUAUACACAUCUUAUCUUAUCUAUGAUGCAGAAACAAGAUCCAAUUGUCCUCUCACGGCGCCGGCAGGUGUCCCAGUGGCUAACGUGGCUGCAGUGCAUGGAGUCACUAUUCGCGUACGUGUAAGAAUAUGCAUGCCUUGCCAAUCCAAUUGCCCAUAUAUAACCCCCAAACCCCGUUUCUCAUUUCAAAUACAUCAAAUCCCAAACAGAUCUUAAUUUAAAAUUACUCAAAAGUUCAGCAGCUGUUUGUGUUUGCAGUUUGAAAAUGGCGAGCUAUGAGAAGCAGUACGGGGCAACACCGACCGACGAGUACGGGAACCCGAUCCGCCGCACCGACGAGUACGGGAACCCACUUGGUCAUCACACUACUACGACCGGAACCACCGCGGCCACCACUGGCGCAGGAGGGUACGACCCUCAUGACUUCGCCGCCACCACGGUAGCUGGCCAAGGCCAAGGGGUGCAUGGUCACGACUAUGACAGGAAAGGGCACCACGGCGUCACUGGCGCCGUGCUUCACCGCUCUGGUAGCUCAAGCUCUAGCUCUGUAAGUCCUCUUUUUUUUUCUUUUUCUUUUUUUUUAAAUUUUCCUCUAAUAUAUCAAAUUAUGGGAAUUUAAUUUCAUGAAUAAUAUGCUCGAUUGCGCAAUAUAUUUUGUGCUACAUCUCUAACAGUUGUUAUAGAUGUGGUCACAACUUUUGUGUCACAUCAAUAUUUAACAGUUUUAACAGUUUGUGUCAAGUCUCACGGAUCACACUGUUUUGUAUCACAUCCAUCUUGAACAGAAGUGAGACUCGUCUUGUGUCGCACUAUUUCAUCACAAAAAUAAUUUUAUGGUGAUUUUAUUAUAUAUGAUAUGAUAAAGUUGGUAAUUGAUUGUGAUUUGUAGUCUGAGGAUGACGGGCUAGGAGGGAGGAGGAAGAAGAAGGGGUUGAAGGAGAAGGUAAAGGAGAAGCUGCCAGGUGGAACCAAAACCGAUACAACAUACGGUGGAACUGGGACCACCGGGCAGCACCACCAGGAGAAGGGGACGAUGGACAAGAUCAAGGAGAAGCUGCCUGGGACUGGGGGGCAUAGGGCAGAUGACCCCUACCCAUCUCAGACUCAUACAACUGCCACCACCACACCUUAUGGUGGAACCGCCUACACCGAAGAGCACCAAGAG
rnacentral:lncRNA from 1 species